CAUGUUUUGAAGUACGUGUACAAGAAAUUUGGAAGUCAAGGGCUCCGCAUAUUAGCGUUUCCAUGCAACCAGUUCAAUAAAGAGGAACCUGGCUCCGCAGAGGACAUCAUACGGUUUGCUGACGAGAAUAAGACGAACUUCGACAUCUUCGAGAAGUGCGAUGUGAAUGGGCCGAAUGCUAACCCCGUAUGGAAGUUUCUGAAGUCAAAGGUGAACAUUGACAAGCCAGCGGUGAUAACAACAAACUACACCAAAUUCUUAGUAAAUCAAGCCGGAGUACCGUUUGCGAGGUUCGGACCUGACGCUGAAGAAGCCACGUUGAUAAAAGCACUUGAACCAUACU